GAUGAACGCUAGCUACAGGCCUAACACAUGCAAGUCGAGGGGCAGCAUAAAAUCAGCUUGCUGAUUUGAUGGCGACCGGCGCACGGGUGAGUAACACGUAUCCAACCUGGCCUUUACUCAGGGAUAGCCUUUCGAAAGAAAGAUUAAUACUUGAUAGCAUAAAUUGACCGCAUGGUUGAUUUAUUAAAGAUUUAUUGGUAAAGGAUGGGGAUGCGUUCCAUUAGCUUGUUGGUAAGGUAACGGCUUACCAAGGCAUCGAUGGAUAGGGGUUCUGAGAGGAAGGUCCCCCACACUGGUACUGAGACACGGACCAGACUCCUACGGGAGGCAGCAGUGAGGAAUAUUGGUCAAUGGGCGAGAGCCUGAACCAGCCAAGUAGCGUGAAGGAUGACUGCCCUAUGGGUUGUAAACUUCUUUUGUAUGGGAAUAAAUGACAUUACGUGUAGUGUUUUGUAUGUACCAUUAUGAAUAAGCAUCGGCUAACUCCGUGCCAGCCGCCGCCGUA
rnacentral:rRNA from 1 species